UCCUGGUUUCCCAGGCAGUCUCGCCAGAGUGCUCAACUCACGUUGGUAGCAACUGACGACAAGGGUUGCGCUCGUUAAAGGACUUAACCCAACAUCUCACGACACGAGCUGACGACAGCCAUGCAGCACCUGUGCAUCUGUCUGGACCGAAGCCCAAAAGACCGUAUUUCUACGGCUGUCAAAUACAUGUCAAGCCUAGGUAAGGUUCCUCGCGUAGUAUCGAAUUAAACCACAUGUUCCACCGCUUGUGCGGACCCCCGUCAAUUUCUUUGAGUUUUAGUCUUGCGACCGUAAUCCCCAGGCGGAUCACUUAACGCGUUAGCUACGACACUAAUUCUGCAGAGCAGAACUAACGUCUAGUGAUCAUCGUUUACGGCGUGGACUAC
rnacentral:misc_RNA from 1 species